rnacentral:rRNA from 1 species
AGUCGUACGGGCCGCAAGGCCAGUGGCGCAAGGGUGAGUAAUGCGACGGUAACCAACCCCAUGAUUGGGCAUAGCCGCGGGAAACUGCGGGUAAUUCCCAGCGAUGUCGGCGAGGGGCAUCUCUUGCCGACCAAAGCUCCGGCGUCGUGGGACGGGCCGUUGUGGUAUUAGCUAGUUGGCGGGGUGACGGCCCACCAAGGCUACGAUGCCUACCGGGCGUGCGAGCGUGGCCCGGCACACUGGGACUGAGACACUGCCCAGACUCCUACGGGAGGCUGCAGUCGAGAAUCUUCGGCAAUGGGCGCAAGCCUGACCGAGCGACGCCGCGUGGAGGACGAAGGCCUUCGGGUUGUAAACUCCUGUCGAGGGGGAAGAAGGGGUAAAACCUUGACUGAUCCCUGGAGGAAGCACGGGCUAAGUUCGUGCCAGCAGCCGCGGUAAGACGAACCGUGCGAACGUUAUUCGGAAUCACUGGGCUUAAAGCGCGUGUAGGCGGGAGGGCACGUCGGUCGUUGAAAUCCCCCGGCUCAACCGGGGAAGUGGCGCCGAUACGACCUUCCUGGAGGAACGUAGGGGG